rnacentral:rRNA from 1 species
AACGAACGCUGGCGGCAUGCCUAACACAUGCAAGUCGAACGAGACCUUCGGGUCUAGUGGCGCACGGGGGCGUAACGCGUGGGAACCUGCCCGUAGGUUCGGAAUAACUCCCCGAAAGGGGUGCUAAGACCGGAUAAUGUCUUCGGACCAAAGAUUUAUCGCCUUUGGAUGGGCCCGCGUUGGAUUAGCUAGUUGGUAGGGUAAAAGCCUACCAAGGCGACGAUCCAUAGCUGGUCUGAGAGGAUGAUCAGCCACACUGGGACUGAGACACGGCCCAGACUCCUACGGGAGGCAGCAGUGGGGAAUAUUGGACAAUGGGCGAAAGCCUGAUCCAGCAAUGCCGCGUGAGUGAUGAAGGCCUUAGGGUUGUAAAGCUCUUUUACCCGGGAUGAUAAUGACAGUACCGGGAGAAUAAGCUCCGGCUAACUCCGUG